GCUAGGUGUAGUGGCACAUGCUUGUAGUCUCACCUACUUGGGAGGCUGAGGCAGGAGGAUCACCUUAGCCCACGAGUUUAAGACCAGCCUGGGCAACAUGGCAAGACCUCAUCUCAA
rnacentral:sRNA from 1 species